CAGCACCUCAAGUGGUCAGGAUGAUUAUUGGGCCUAAAGCAUCCGUAGCCUGCUUUGUAAGUUUUCGGUUAAAUCCAUACGCUCAACGUAUGGGCUGCCGGGAAUACUGCAAAGCUAGGGAGUGGGAGAGGUAGACGGUACUCGGUAGGAAGGGGUAAAAUCCUUUGAUCUAUUGAUGACCACCUGUGGCGAAGGCGGUCUACCAGAACACGUCCGACGGUGAGGGAUGAAAGCUGGGGGAGCAAACCGGAUUAGAGACCCGAGAAGUCC
rnacentral:rRNA from 1 species